rnacentral:lncRNA from 1 species
GAAAAAAGGCUCUUAGUACAGAUCAAGUUUUGACCCAUUCAUCUGUUACUCAGCUGUAUAUUCCCCAUCACAAGUGAUGUUACAACACAAGAAGGUUGAAGACUAGCACAUGCCUCCUCCGACACAUGUGAAGUCAGCCACUGCCUCUUUUUGAAAUGCUGCUGAUGCAGCAUUGCCGAGUCCUGAUACAUCAGCUCACAGACGCAGCCUUGUGCUGAUCGACAUCACCCUAGGAGUUAUUUACUUACUCAGAGAAAGCAAGGCCAGUUGUGCUCUCUCAGGGCUCCGGCAGCUGAUGGCAAGCUACAUAACCGGGAUUCGAACCAGCGAUCUCCCAAUCGUAGUGGCAUGUCAAAAACAUGCUAACUUCGUUAACUUUAACAACCAUAAUAUGCUAAAACAAUAAUUUGCUUCUAAAAUUCCAAAGCCAAUCCACAUGUUUGGAGUGAUUUACUUAAUGGUGAAAAAGGAGUGAAAAGGCAUAUUAUGAAAAGACACAGGGACCUCUGUAGAUCAGGUUGAGGUAAAUUCAGCACCAUCUUUAGUAAGAUUUAGAAACUCAAAAUAUGCUGUACCAACUGUUGAGUAGAAUGUUAGAGACAUAAAAUUUGCUGAGAUGAUUUUUUUUGUUUAUGUUCUGACUGCCUAUUUUUUUCUAAGAUACAGAUUAAAUAAUUUAAUUCAGUUAAUACCUUUACCUGCGCUUGUGCUUGUGAGUUAACAGAACUUUACUACUGUCUGUGUGUGUGUGUAUUCAUGUUUUCCGUGUUUGUGUGUCUGUCUCUCAGUUCUGUCAUCCUCAUCAGAGAGUAAACAGCCGAGUGACUCACCGUUCUCCAUUCACGCUCCCAUGCUGCCACUGUCUUGGCUGGAGUUGUGGAUUCCUGCUCUGUGUUCGGCAGCGGCUCCGGAGACGGAAGACGUCAUGGAGGCGGGCAGGGCUGACGGAGCUGCCCGCCGCAGGGCUGGUGUUACUGCUGUGUUGAUGGAUGGACUGGCGUUUGCCCCAUGAGAGUGCCACUCAUUCACUGUCAGCUUUCAUUAGCCUGAAAGCAGGCUGAACAAAACAACAAGGUCGACAUGCUUUACC